GACGAACGCUGGCGGCGUGCUUAACACAUGCAAGUCGAACGGAAAGGCCCUGCUUUUGUGGGGUGCUCGAGUGGCGAACGGGUGAGUAACACGUGAGUAACCUGCCCUUGACUUUGGGAUAACUUCAGGAAACUGGGGCUAAUACCGGAUAGGAGCUCCUGCUGCAUGGUGGGGGUUGGAAAGUUUCGGCGGUUGGGGAUGGACUCGCGGCUUAUCAGCUUGUUGGUGGGGUAGUGGCUUACCAAGGCUUUGACGAGUAGCCGGCCUGAGAGGGUGACCGGCCACAUUGGGACUGAGAUACGGCCCAGACUCCUACGGGAGGCAGCAGUGGGGAAUAUUGCACAAUGGGCGGAAGCCUGAUGCAGCAACGCCGCGUGCGGGAUGACGGCCUUCGGGUUGUAAACCGCUUUCGCCUGUGACGAAGCGUGAGUGACGGUAAUGGGUAAAGGAGCACCGGCUAACUACGUG
rnacentral:rRNA from 1 species